GGCUGUUUAGCUCAGUGGUAGAGCGCGGGUCCCGUAAACCUGAGGUCGAGGGUUCGAUCCCCUCAGCGGCCU